GAGAUGGAUUGGUGGCCUUCGGGAACGUCUGACACAGGUGCUGCAUGGCUGUCGUCAGCUCGUGUCGCGAGAUGUUGGGUUAAGUCCCGUAACGAGCGCAACCCUUGUCCUUAGUUACCAGCACGUUAUGGUGGGCACUCUAAGGAGACUGCCGGUGACAAACCGGAGGAAGGUGGGGAUGACGUCAAGUCAUCAUGGCCCUUACGGCCUGGGCUACACACGUGCUACAAUGGUCGGUACAAAGGGUUGCCAAGCCGCGAGGUGGAGCUAAUCCCAUAAAACCGAUCGUAGUCCGGAUCGCAGUCUGCAACUCGACUGCGUGAAGUCGGAAUCGCUAGUAAUCGUGAAUCAGAAUGUCACGGUGAAUACGUUCCCGGGCCUU
rnacentral:rRNA from 1 species